rnacentral:misc_RNA from 1 species
UCGGCCAUUUUCUACACCUUCUAUGAAGCCCAAGAUCCAGUCUUACCUCUCUCCCAAACCCCACUUCUUAUCUGGCUUCAGGGUGGCCCUGGCUGCUCCUCCAUGAUAGGCAACUUCUUUGAGCUCGGUCCAUACCGUGUAGUUGAUACUCAGGGUGAAAACAUCCAACACCUUUCUCUUGAACGCAAUAUAGGCUCUUGGAACCGCAUUUUUGGCCUUAUUUUCCUUGAUAAUCCAAUUGGAGUUGGGUUUAGUAUCGCUGCUACACCCGAAGAGAUACCCAGAGAUCAACACACUGUUGCUAAGCAUCUCUUUGCUGCGAUCACUGGGUUUAUUGGUUUGGACCCAGAUUUCAAGAAUCGUCCACUUUAUAUCACUGGUGAGAGUUAUGCAGGUAAGUAUGUUCCUGCAAUUGGGUAUUACAUUUUGAAGCAGAAUAUGAGGUUGCCAGAGGCAGAGCAAGUGAACUUGAAAGGUGUGGCUAUAGGUAAUGGGUUAAUAGAUCCACUGACACAAGUGAAAAUUCAUGCUGUAAAUGCAUAUUUUUCUGGUUUGAUCAAUGAGAGGCAAAAGGGUGAAUUGGAGGAAGCGCUGUGGAAGGCAGUUGAGUUCGUUAAAAUGGGAAAUUGGAGCGAGGCAACAAAUGCAAGGUCUGAAGCCUUGGAUUUGCUCCAAAACAUGACAGGGUUGGCCACCUUGUAUGACUUCUCGAAGAAGGUUCCUUAUAAAACGAGGUUAGUCACCAAAUUCCUGCAAUCAGUGGAGGUGAAGAAGAAAUUAGGUGCAAAAGAAUCUAUAGUUUUCGAUGAAUGCAGUGAUGUGGUGGGGAAUGCACUGCUAGAGGAUGUGAUGAAGAGUGUGAAGUAUAUGGUGGAAUUGUUGGUGAAGAAGAGCAAGGUAUUGUUGUAUCAAGGGCAUUUUGACUUGAGAGAUGGUGUGGUUUCCACUGAGGCUUGGGUGAAGACAAUGAAAUGGGAGGGAAUAGAGAGGUUUCUGAUGGCGGACAGAAAAGUGUGGAAGGUGAAUGGAGAGCUUGCUGGGUAUGUACAGAAAUGGGGAAGCUUGAGCCAUGCUGUGGUACUAGGAGCAGGUCAUCUUGUGCCUACUGAUCAGGCAUUAAAUUCUCAGGCCAUGAUAGAGGAUUGGGUUUUGGAUAGGGGCGUCUUUGCUUUUGAGCAAAAUAAGGAUUCUGCAUUAGACUCCUAAGGGUCAGUUCACUCUGAAAUUUGUAGCUGAUGCAUUUUCUGUAGCAACUAGCAAGACUAGGUUACUGUAUGAGUCGGUGAUUGUGGAAGUUGCUAGUAAAUUUCAUUAAUAAUGCGCAUUGGGCUUGUUAUUUC